rnacentral:rRNA from 1 species
UACGUAGGGGGCAAGCGUUGUCCGGAAUCAUUGGGCGUAAAGCGAGCGUAGGCGGCCCGAUAAGUCUGCUGUAAAAGUCAACGGCUCAACCGUUGAAAGCCGGUGGAUACUGUCGGGCUAGAGUUCGGAAGAGGCAAGUGGAAUUCCUGGUGUAGCGGUGAAAUGCGCAGAUAUCAGGAAGAACACCCGUGGCUAAGGCGGCUCUCUAGUACGGUACUGACGCUGAGACGCGAAAGCGUGGGGAGCGAACAGG